rnacentral:lncRNA from 1 species
ACGGAAUGAUGUGUUUGUUAAAAUCGUCAAACUUUAGGAGAUUUGAUCGGUUAAAAUUCAGUAAAAGGAUGUGCAUAAGUAUUUUAACUUUACUAUUACAAGACUUUGGGAUGGAAAUAAGAGAGCAUUUGAUCUAGUUCCCUGUGGAGUAGGCGGAUUGACCCAAACACAUAAAUUUGUCAAGAGUCUCCCAACACACAUAAAACAGAAAGAUAUACUGAAAUGAGAUAACAAUGGUCCAAGACUAGCAAAGUAGCAACAGCUUCUGGUGCCCAGAAAAGGCUCAAAAGAACCCUUUGAAUGAACCAAUAAAUUGACCAUAAGUUACACACCAGCAAACAGCUCAAUAUAAACCUGAGCUUUGUUUGCCCGUGCUACUACUUCAAAUCACAAAAGACUUUGAUGGGUUCUCUACUCUAUUAAGAUGACAACACAAAAGCAAAGCAAAGCAAACGCCACAAAAGUCAGUAAGGUCGAAAUCUGCGGCUAUAGCUUCCAUCCGAUUGAUGCUUACCCCGGCCGCUGCUGCUGCUGCUGCUGCUGUUACCAC